GAUGAGCUAAGGGACGACCAAUCAACUUAUGACUCGAGGGACCCCCCACUCUCCCCACUAGACGACCCCCCACAUAGUGGCCCCCAGCAGGGGACAGAGUACCCCCCACAUAGGAAGUCUGAGGGGAGAAGGAGGAGUGUUCCCACUGGACUGUUCUCAUUGGUCGCUGUGAGAUCUAGACUGGAGAAUCUUUGCUCUGAGAUCCAGUUCAUUCAAGGAACGUACCUCCUGACUGGGAAAAAUGGCUUCCUGCUCGGCAAACUACAGGUGUGCGCAUUGUGAUAUAUCUCAUAGUUACUUCGUGUGUCUUUUGUUUGGCUUUAAUUACUCUACGUACUAUAUAGUACCAAGCUUAAACACAUGUUGUGGAGACUUUGAGGCCCAUGCAUUAACCAGGCUGGCUGCAUGCAGUGUAUAGAGGGUAUUUACAACACAAACAAGAUUAUGUCACUGAUUUAAUCUAUCUGUAUAAAAUACUGUUUGUUCCUUGCAUGCAAGACUGCCACUUACAGCUUCAAGAACUUCGAUUACAAGAAUUUGAAUCAAAUCAAGAAUUGUUGAACAGAGAACAAACAAUUAUUUAUGUCAGAUAAAAACAUGCAACGACUCGAGUAUAUUUAUAAUUAUGACUAUUAUACCAGCUAUAACUAUAUAUAUAGUCGCACUGAUAUCAAUGUAAUUAACACAUAAUGUUAUAUCAUGAUCUGUCCCAUUUUUUAUCAAAAUUUAACACGUAUUAAAUUUUUCUGAAGUCUGUUCAAUCCCGGCCCUUUGACUGUGAAAAAUGUCAAUUGGAAUGUCUAUAGCACUUGUUCACUGACUGUGUUAAUAAAUUCAGGAGACCUAGCUAAUAUAGGAUUAUCUGAGCACUUUUUUUCAGUUAAAGAUUUAUGCACUUCAUUACCGAAUCUAAAGUAUCGAAGAAGAUGUUCGUUCACCUCACCCGUCCAUUAUUUAGCUGGAGUCAACAACAAGUCCACUAUACAUGUUAGAAAUAAAAGAUUAUAUAGGUGUAGCAGGCAUUACCGGAAAACUUGUAAAAAAAGUGUUCGGCCGGCGUCCCGACCUUCUGCGCAAGCUAGAGUCCUAGCCAGUAACUGGAGUCCCAGUUAAGUCGGAGUCCCGACCAAGCCAGUGCACCAGUUAUAUUACCGAGAACUUCAGAAACGAAAGAGAUAUAGAUGUGCGCAUGCCGGAGUCCCCUUCCACUCCGAAGCCCCAGUAAUAGCAUGCACACGAAUGUGGCUGACUGCAACGGAAGUUACAUAACUUAAAAAGUUUGUUCAAACUCAACUGACACCAUGACUGUUUGGAACUAUACAGCUUAAUAAUAUCUACAAAGGAAUUUGAGUAUAUAUAUAGUGUUACACUCAUAUACGAUUAUAUAAUGAAGCUAGAUCUACGUACAUAAUAUGCACAUGCACAAACUGGUAAACAUAAUUAUACACACACAAAAAUUUUUCUGGACUAUAAAAUUGGCAUUAGGCCAAAAAUUGAGAUAUAUGCAUGUAUAGGUGUUCUAAUUAAGUGUCCCUCUUGUACGAGUAUACAGCUGCAGGAGGGCGUACUGAGCACAGUCAGUGGAGGUCCAAUAUCCUGUGUGGGCGGACUGCCACUUCCAGCUUCAAGAGCUUCGAUUACAAGGAUUUGAACCAAGUCAAGAAUUGUUGAACAGAGAACGAACAAUGUCUUGUGUCAGAUAAAAACAUGCAACGAGUAUAUUGACAAUAUACCAGCUGCAACUAAGUCGCACUGAUAUCAGCGUAAUUAACACAUUCGUACUAUAAUUUUAUCAUCAUCAAAUUUUUUUUUAUCACACGUACGUACAUGUAAUAAUUAUUUUUCUGAAGCCAGUUCAAUCCAUUUGUGUUCAAUACAACAUAUUUAUUAUGUACGUUGGAAUGUCUAGCACUUUGUUCACUAAAUUGU